UACGUAGGGGGCAAGCGUUGUCCGGAUUUAUUGGGCGUAAAGAGCGUGUAGGCGGCUUGGUGGGUCCGCUGUGAAAACUCGAGGCUCAACCUCGAGAUGUCGGCGGAAACCCACUUGGCUAGGAGUCCGGAAGAGGAGAGUGGAAUUCCCGGUGUAGCGGUGAAAUGCGCAGAUAUCGGGAAGAACACCUAUGGCGGAAGGCAGCUCUCUGGGACGG
rnacentral:rRNA from 1 species